AUGAGAUUUGUUGGCAAUAAGAAAAAUAUAGAGAUUCACCAGACUUAUCCUUAAACUAUCUCUCCAUGUGUUAGAAGAUUAGCACAAGAGUGGAAUAUAAAAGUCUGGAUCAAUAAAAUGAUCCUACUGAUCUACUGUGUGUGUGUGUGUGUGUGUGUGUGUGUGUGUGUGUGUGUGUGUGUGAACAUUGAUUUGACAGAGGACUUGAGAUGUUUCUGUUUAGUUUUUGUCAUUUUACCAGCAGAUCGUCUCCAGCUCUCAGUGGGAGUUCAGCACUUUUCCACCCAGCUGCGAAGAGAAAGAGACACCAGAUGCUCGGCUGUUGCAGGACGGGUGUAAUCAGGCCAUGAAGCUCUCUGACUGGAGGAGAAGAUGUCUGCGGGUACGACGAGAAGCAAGACAGCCUGAAACUGGAGUCUGCAGCUCUGUGAGGCUUCACGAAGGCCAGAAGGCUUUCUGACUGUAAACAACCCUGCGUAAGAGAAAUGCAAGCGGCUGCGUUGGAGAGUGUCGCUUCAUCUAACGUUGAGAAGGUGAAAUACAAUCUAGGAAGUCCAGUUUGAGAAACAGAUGCAGUUUAAAGGCAGGGGGGCAGGAGUGUGUCCUCUCAGGUGCCCACACAGUAUGAUAAAAUGCUUCUGAGGUGCUGCAUAAAGGAGAAAACAUACCAAAGUUCUGUAAUGACUGUCUAGUUAUGGGUAAAUCAGGAUGAAAUGCCCUAUAGAGGGCCUCUAUAUAUGACAGUCUGGGAUGAAGAGCCCUCUUGGUGCCCUUUCAGUGGAAGAAAAUGUGAUCGUGCCCUGUAAAGAACCCCUAAAAAUGAGAAAAUAUGAUUUGCCCUUUCAAUGAAGAGGAUGUAUGCCCUUCUAGUGAACAAAAAAAAUAAAUAAAUAAAGGGAAAAAGUGCAGUUUAGGGGUCCCCUGAGUCUAACAUACUGGAGUGCAGAAUUGGGUGCCCUUUGAAUGAAAAAAGUUCCACUGUAUGGGAGAAAAACACUGUGAAGUGGGGGUCCGUUGAACAUAUCGGGUGACCUUUAUAUAUUUUCGCCCCUGAGGCAGCUUGAGUCCACCGCUGUAGAGACAUUUCAGUCUGUCGACCAACUGACGAAACCGAUGACCCACCACUAACCUGGAUUAAAAAGGAAGUCAUUAUGGUACAAUUUUGUGACUUAAUUUAUGUAGAUUAAUGUUAUUUUUGCUGUGAAUACUUUGAAGAAACAGCUGAUAAAUCUAA